CUUAUUCACCCGGCGGCCAGAACGAGGCUAAAGGGUACACUUGCCAUUACACCAAAGUCCAGCAGAUGGUGGAGGUAAUGCACUCUGUUUGCAAGUUACCAAAAAAAAAGGAGA